UCUCACCCACCGUGCACUCCUCAUCUUUUGACUGUCUUUUUUACUCUCGCACACACUCUCUCUCUCUCUGCAUCUCCCUUUCUCUCUCUAGAAAGAUUUCUGAUAUCUCGUUGGGGUUCUUGAUUUUGGUGCAGUCUCUGUGGAGAUAAGCCGUUUCUGAGUGCUGGGUUUUGGCUGUGUUUGGUGUACUCAGGUGCUCUCAAAUUGCGUAAAAAGUGGCAAUAAAUUGAAGUGAAGAACAGUAUGCGGUGGUAUAGUCUGUCGGUUGAUGUGUUUCGUAAAGUUGUCUCUUUGAACUUGUACUGCCGUGUGAUCCUAUAAAGUCAUUCCAUUUCAGAAGACAGCAUCGUUGCCUCUUUAUCUCUCUGUUGAACUUCAUCAUUAGUUCUAGAGUACACAUUAUUUCCAUGGGAUCCACUCGCUUCGUUGUCAUUCCUUGCUAUGUACGCUGGAUAAGCUGAGCCGUUUCUUCUGAAGCCCCAAAGUUUCUGCAACAUUCUUUGCUUUCACUCCUGGCCUUCUUUAAUACUCUUAGUAUUGUUAUUUGUUUCAAUUGAGUUUUGCUAUUCAUUUUGUCAUCUUUGGCUGGAAGAUUCAGAAUUUUCGUAGGCCGAGAGUGGUUAUUUUCCUCUGAUCAUCUUCUUGCUGGGAGUUGUGGUGUAUUAUUGAGCAACGGAUUCUCAGAUUAUUGGGUUAGUUUGGAUAAGUGUAUCACUUCCCUUCAGGUCGGUUUGAGUGUGAUUGAGUGAACGGUUGGGGAAAUAGUAGUUAUGGUGUGCCAAGCAGCUAGUCAGACAAGAUUUCGGGCAUUGAAACAUGAAAAUGGAAUUGCUGGGUGUGCCACCAUAAUAGUUAGAGUCAUUGCAUGCUUUCAACCCCUCCAAGAUUGCCAGGCCGAGUAUUUCCGCCAUCUGCUUAAACCUGUUACGUAGAUUGAUUUCAUUUCCGUGCAUUCGAGUUAGGCUGGGUGUUUUUUGUUAUUUUUGUUUUCACUCAAACAUACAACAAGCAGUCAGUUAUUCUUAGGUAAUUGCUGUGCUUCAAUGGAAAAGGACUGUGGAAUUGGGAUUCAUCAGCAUUCUAUGCCUGCGCCAUCCCCUAAUCUGAAUUCCUUGGGUUUCUGUAUCAACUCCGGCCAUCUGAACGCCGACCCCGUUUGUACGAAUCCGUACUUGGUUGAGGAUUCCACAUUAAGAACUAUUCCCUUGUUUCCAGUUUCUGGGUUGCAAGAGCUGAAGGCAAGUCAACCAAAUGACUCAGGAAAUUGGCUUUACCGUAUGCCUUAUUUCCAUCAGGCCUUUGCUCCUGCAUUCCAAGAGAAAUUUCCUGUGGGCCGAUUUGAAUUCAGACAAGAGAAGAGUCCUACAAUUGGCACUGCACCUGGUCAGAAGAGAUUUCUUGUAUUUGAUCAAUCUGGUGACAAAACAACCUUAGUAUAUAGUUCUGCGGUUCAGACUCCUGUACAACAUGGAGCUCGUUGGGUACUGAAUCCUCCUACCACUUAUAAUUCGAAUAAGGAAGAGCUGAGGAAUAGUAUCAAUCCUUUGAGGUCAAGCGUGAAGGAUGAAAAUAUGGAAGAUAACUCAAGAGAUGUUACUGAAGAUGAAAUGCAUGAAGACACAGAAGAACUGGAUGCUCUGCUCUGCUCCGAUAACGACAGUGAUUUUUCGGAAAAUGAUGAAGAAACGAGCACCGGUCAUUCGCCUAGUACAAUGACUGACAACGGCAUAGAUGAUUUGGUCAAGGAGACAGGUGAAGAAGUUGAUAGUUUUCUUGGGCCAACCAAAAGGCAGAAGCUUUUAGAUGGAGGUUACAAUGCACCGUCUAAAAGGAAAAACUCCGCAUGCUAUGCUUUUGAGGAUGAUGCGGAGUCCAGUUGCGGCAACGGGAAUAAGCAGCUUAAGGAAAAAUUAGGUUCGUCUUCUGGUUGCAAAAGAUCAAGAAAAGAGAAAAUACGUGAGACCAUCAGCAUUCUGCAAAGCAUAAUUCCCAGUGGGAACGGGAAAAAUGCAAUUGUUGUUAUUGACGAAGCAAUUCAUUACUUGAGAUCCUUGAAGGUCAAAGCCAAGGCUCUCGGACUCGACUCUCUUUGAAUUUCUAGAUGCGUUACUUCACCAGAAACAGUAGCUUGAAAGAUUUCCGUUGUAAAAUAGGUGGGGCCUGAAAAUUCCAUCAAGAAGAGAAUCCUGAAAUCCUCUUUGAAGCCUUUCUGCGAUGAGAUUGAGUUGGAACCAGCAGCCUUUGUUUACGGAUUUUGUUCAUGUCUCUAUCUGUCUAGAGAGAUAAGGAAGAUGCUCAGCAAAAGGUAACGUUAAAUAUGCCUUUUGGGUUUCCUUAAGCCAUGUGAUUUCCCAACCACUUUUUACAGCCUCGUCACAUUACAGCCAGCUGAGCGUCUGUCGCAUUCUGUGGAGGAUAUCGGUAUGGUUAUCUAUCCUACUUUUCUUGCCUCUUCCUUGAACCGCCACAGGCCGUCGGGAGUGUAAACAUAGUUUUUCUACUCUUGAUCUUCAAAUCCAUAUGAAUCGGUCAUUGAAUGCUACGAUCAAUUAACAAAAGCUUUUGGAUUUGGUGUAAUAAUAAGAGGAUCGACCCAUACACUCUUAGUUGUUGAUGAUUUCUGUAGUUUGGUGUGAGAAUACUGCAUCUGUAACAAUCGACUUUAAUUCAAUUUGGGGACGUAAGUUAGCUCUCAAAUUUGGCGCUGCUGUUGUUUUAUGCCCAUGUCUGAAAGCAGCGUGCUUGUGACUGUUUGAUGCCCUGUUUUAAUGUUAGCGUGCUUGUGAUUGUAUUCCCAGAACAUUGAUGAGAUGUCUAUUUUCCACUUUUAAGUCCUUGGCUUUUC